rnacentral:rRNA from 1 species
UACAGAGGGUGCAAGCGUUAAUCGGAAUUACUGGGCGUAAAGGGCGCGUAGGUGGUUUGUUAAGUGAGAUGUGAAAUCCCUGGGCUCAACCUAGGAAUGGCAUUUUAUACUGGCAAGCUUGAGUACAUGAGAGGGUAGUGGAAUUUCCGGUGUAGCGGUGAAAUGCGUAGAUAUCGGAAGGAACACCAGUGGCGAAGGCGGCUACCUGGCAUGAUACUGACACUGAGGCGCGAAAGCGUGGGGAGCAAACAGG